rnacentral:lncRNA from 1 species
AGCUGGGUUAGAGUUAACACUUGCAAUGAAUUAUAUGAGAAACACGGGUUCUGUAUGUGUUGUCUCAUCCAUCCCUGACAACAACCUAUGAGAUAUGCACGCUCACCUCAACUGAAACACAGAGGUGAAACAAAUGUCACCCCUAGAAAUCUCUAGAUUUCUAAAUCUAGAUCCACUUGACCCUAAGUUCAUAUAGCUAAGAGUUGCCUGACUUUAUCAACUCUGGAGAAGGUGUAGGUCCAUUUUCCUUCCUGCCAUCACUGAGCCAGCCCUGCUUGCUGGCCAUUCUUCCAGAGGGGUGUCGGGGGAGUGGCAGACCUUAGGGAGGACCCCAGGGAGGAGUCAAGCCUUUCACUUCCUCGUGUUAGAAGUCUCUUCACCUGUGUCUUCUUGGGAACGUCCACGCUAUCAUAGCGUAGAGAGGGUUUCUGGGCAGUGUGUGAUCUAGGCCCACAUAGGGGAAA